CGUGAGGAACCUGCCCUGGAGUGGGGAAUAACACAGUGAAAAUUGUGCUAAUACCGCAUAAUGCAGUUGAGUCGCAUGGCUCUGACUGCCAAAGAUUUAUCGCUCUGGGAUGGACUCGCGUCUGAUUAGCUGGUUGGUGGGGUAACGGCCCACCAAGGCGACGAUCAGUAGCCGGACUGAGAGGUUGGCCGGCCACAUUGGGACUGAGACACGGCCCAGACUCCUACGGGAGGCAGCAG
rnacentral:rRNA from 1 species